CACCGCUGGGACUGCUAAACUGCAAAUCUGUGAAAAGAAAGAUUUCUAUGCUCAGAAAAACUGGAUAUAUUUAAAAUAGUGUCAUUUUAGUGUGCAUGCGUGCCUGUGUGUGUAGACACACAAUUUGCUUAUGUAUGUUUUUCAGGAAUUUCUUUCAGGUUCAAAUGUCCUUGGCUGGAAGGAGACCCACACAGACACAUUUGGGAGAAAUCUGAUAAUGGCUGAAGAGUUUGGGACAAACCUGAGGCACACGUGGGGCUUAAUGUUCAGGUUGUGAGUGUUCGUUCAGCACACCACGUUGAAUAGCAUGUGGAAAAUUGGCAUUUCCAGUGAAUAAAAAUUAACUGGCAAACAACAAAAGGAAAAACGGAGGAAUGCUGUUGGAUGCUGUUUGGCUCGUCUUGUCUUGUCAGAGAAGGAACACGUGUGAAUCAAAUGGUUGAAGAUGAAUUUUACCUACACGUCUGGCUCCUGUUCAGAUGUUUUAGAUUUCUUAGUCAACUUUAUUUGCUUGUGUUUCUUUAAAAAAUGGUGUUUGCUCAUGUUAAAACAGGGAACUAAGCUGUAUGUAGAAAAUAAUGAUUUACCUUCUGAAACUGCAAUACGCACAAAUGGAGCAAGAAGAAUACAGGUACAGUGCCUGGCUACCCUAGUUCCUCAGGUACAUUUUCCACUUUCCAUGUUCCUAUACGACAGUGUCACAGAUUUCUGCCACUGUGUCAUAAAGAUCACUUUCCUCCUGUAUCCAGCAACAUUCUCUCACAUUCCUGUGAGCCCUCCCAACAGCCUCAGAGGUGGCUAA
rnacentral:lncRNA from 12 species